rnacentral:rRNA from 1 species
UGGGGCUACACACGUGGCUACAAUGGGGCAGAACAAAGGGCAGCGAAACCGCGAGGUUAAGCCAAUCCCACAAAUCUGUUCUCAGUUCGGAUCGCAGUCUGCAACUCGACUGCGUGAAGCUGGAAUCGCUAGUAAUCGCGGAUCAGCAUGCCGCGGUGAAUACGUUCCCGGGCCUUGUACACACCGCCCGUCACACCACGAGAGUUUGUAACACCCGAAGUCGGUGAGGUAACCUUUUUGGAGCCAGCCGCCGAAGGUGGGACAGAUGAUUGGGGUGAAGUCGUAACAAGGUAGCCGUAUCGGAAGGUGCGGUUGGAUCACCUCC